UCUCUAACGGUCGCCCCAGCGUGAGUUUUUUUAUGCACGUGAUGUUAGAAUGUUCUCUCCAUUCCAGAAUGUGAUUGAUACGUAACAGUACAUUUUAUCCGCGCUGCCCUCAAACUAAAGCACGCACCCUGUUUAUAUUUAUAGGUUGUUUUAACUUCAAUUUCAAAUGAUUUUCAAACAAGUUUUUAUUUUCUAAAAACAGUUUGAAUUUAGGUGUGUUCCGCCUCCUCAUUCAUUCACAUAAAAAUAGUCAUUUUUACUUUUGCGGAUAAUUACAUUUUUGGGACAUUUCUGACACGGACAAAAUUCCCCAAGCACUUCCCAAUUGUUUGUGCAGUUCACGUCUGCAGACAUUUGCUUAUCUCCCGUCAGAACAGGAUCUGCACACGUGUUCACAUUUUCUAUUCCACAUUUCUAUUGUAGCGUACUGUAUGUAUGGAGCAUAAUAUAUUUGUGUAUAUUCUUUAUCACCGCGGACACGUGAGGUAACGUUACUCAUUUUAUAACCUUUAUGGUGUUAUAGUCAAUCGUGCUUAUGUAGCCACAUUCUUCUAUUAGCUCUGUAAAACAAUGCUAAAUGCGUCAGAGAAGUAUUAUCUUGUGUUGCAUUUUGAAGCUACCAUGGCCUUAUGACUCUCAAGUGGUGCAGCGGUCAAAGGCACAGCACAUCAGUACUAGAGGUGUCACUACAGACUCCCUGGUUCAAAUCCAGGCUGCGUUUCCAUCAAAAAACCAGAAACAUUAUUUGCCAAUAUCAUAACUGGAGCUGGACAUCUUUGGAGCUGAAUAAUGAGGACAGCUUUUGUAUGCUAACGUACACUCCUUAACAGUUGUACUGGAUGAAAACACAGCAAGAAAACACAUAUGCCAAUAUGUAAUAUUCAUCUAUUUUAUUGCAGGACUGGUAGUUGGUUCAACAACUUGUUUUACUAGAGGACAAAAAACUGAAUAUGUAAAACCCAUAUUCAUUAUCCAUGCAGUGACUGAACAACAACUGCAUUUCCACCCCCAUCUCUAAGGCAUAGUAUCAUGGCUGGUCACCUAUCAAGUCACAUGUCAGGUCAGUCAGUCACCUAUUGCUGCAGAUGUGCUCAAUAAUGCUUGAGCAUGUGAUACUCCUCAAAGCAUGGUGAAAUACAUAGAGGUGUAUCACAAGCUAGACACAUGUAUUUUGUCAUCUUCCUCUGCUUACUUCUCCUGGCGCCAGACAGGCAGACUUUGCAAUGCCUCCGUGUGCGACUACCUUGAGAAGCAGUUUGAGGGACUUUGCAGGGAAAAUGUCGUGCAGUGAGGCGUAGGGGAUUGUCUGCAGCAGGACGGCCCCCAGUGGAUGGGCGCCGAGGGGUGUGGUGCUCCUCCAGCAGCUCUCUCAUGAGGUUCUCUCUGUAUUUUUGGUGGUCCACCUUCCCUGUGGCCGACAUG